UUUAUUUGAGAGUUUGAUCCUGGCUCAGGAUGAACGCUGGCGGCGUGCCUAAUACAUGCAAGUCGAGCGAAUGGAUU
rnacentral:rRNA from 1 species